ACUUUGAUCAUGGCUCAGGACGAACGCUGGCGGCGCGCCUAACACAUGCAAGUCGAACGAGAGAUGAAGAGCUUGCUCUUCAAAUCGAGUGGCGAACGGGUGAGUAACGCGUGAGGAACCUGCCUCAAAGAGGGGGACAACAGUUGGAAACGACUGCUAAUACCGCAUAAGCCCACGGCUCGGCAUCGAGCAGAGGGAAAAGGAGCAAUCCGCUUUGAGAUGGCCUCGCGUCCGAUUAGCUAGUUGGUGAGGUAACGGCCCACCAAGGCAACGAUCGGUAGCCGGACUGAGAAGUUGAACGGCCACAUUGGGACUGAGACACGGCCCAGACUCCUACGGGAGGCAGCAGUGGGGAAUAUUGCACAAUGGGGGAAACCCUGAUGCAGCGA
rnacentral:rRNA from 1 species